rnacentral:rRNA from 1 species
AUACGGAGGAUGCAAGCGUUAUCCGGAUUUAUUGGGUUUAAAGGGUGCGUAGGCUGUUCGGAAAGUCAGGGGUGAAAGCCCGGCGCAUAACGCCGGAACUGCCUUUGAUACUUCCGAGCUGGAAUACGGAUGCCGUGGGAGGAAUGAGUAGUGUAGCGGUGAAAUGCAUAGAUAUUACUCAGAACACCGAUUGCGAAGGCAUCUCACGAAUCCGUGGUUGACGCUGAGGCUCGAAAGCGUGGGUAUCAAACAGGAUUAGAUGACCCGCUAGGGCACGCCGUUAAGGAUUAUCACUAAACGUAAGCGAUACACAGUCGGUGGCCUAGGGAAAGCGAUAAGUCAGCCACCUGGGGAGUUAGGUCGCAAGAAUGAAACUUAAAGGAAUUGCCGGGG